GUCGGGUUCGUGUGGUCGGGUCAUGUAAUUAUGUGAUUUUGUUAGGGCUAUAGAUGUAUUUAGCCUAUUUUCGUAUUUCAAAAUAAAUAAAUAAAAAACUAUAUUUUAUUGAUGGGAGAUUUGAGCAUUUUUCGUGAGUCAAAGGGGCAUCUGGAGUUAAUCUCCAAGUUAUGCAGAUUUUUUGAUUAAGUACACAUAUGCACACAGAGGGAGGAUUUCACUGUAAGCAAAUUUCGGGAUCAGUUAUGAGUGACCAAGCACAAAAUGAGCUGCACUAUGCCAUGCGUUAAGACAUUAUGUGAUAGGAUUCAUCAUCCUACCACACACUAAAAUUCAUAGAUAUGAAAAAGGAUGAAUUACUCACCAAGAAAAAAUAUAAACUAGAUCUUGAUCCGCGCAACUGCGUGGGUGUUUGAUUUCAUUUUUAUAUAUGUUAAAGUUUUUUUUCUACAUCGAUAAUGGUAAAUAUUCUAAACAUCAACCAUAUUUUUAAACGUUUAUAGUUUUUGGACAGAAUAAUGUCAACAUGUAUGGUCUUCUUCUUCU
rnacentral:lncRNA from 1 species